rnacentral:tRNA from 1 species
GGCAGGUAUAGCUCAGUGGUAGAGUACAUGCUUGUAAUGCAUGAGGUCCUGGGUUUAAUCCCCAGUACCUCCU